rnacentral:lncRNA from 1 species
CUUUGGAAAAUGCAAACUCUAAUAAUUGAGACAUCUGAACCUAUCUUUCGUACCAAAGCAGAUAUACGACAGAUGAGUAAGUUGAGACAUUUAAUUACGAAUGUCCCGAUAUAUUUACCUGACCAGGUUACUAAAUCAGAAGAAUGUUAUUGUUUGACGAGUCUACAAACUUUUGCCGUAGUAACCUCAGAAAGUUGCACGACAGAAUUGAUUGCUAGUAUUCCGAACAUAAAGAAAUUCAGCAUUUGUGAUCGGUUAGCUUUACUUGUACUGGGAAAUGAUGGAUUUGAUUGUCUUCAGAAGUUGAGGUAUCUUACAAAUUUGAAGCUCAUGAAUGGAGGGGGGGGUACUCACUCCACCACUUCGCCUACCUGAACAUCUCAAAUUUUCACCAAUGUUAAAUAAGCUAACUCUAUCAAACACCCAACUAGUUGGGAGCAGAUGUUAAUAUUGGGAAGAUCAGAAAAUAUUGAGAUACUCAAGCUAAAAAAGUGUGCAUUCAAGGGAGAUCUGUGGAAGAUGAAGCAAGAGUGUUUCUCUGUUAUCAAAGUCUUGCACAUUGUAAAGACUGAUUUAGCUCAAUGGGAGGCUUCUGCACAUCACUUCUUCCAAGAAUACGUACGUGUCCACAAGUUCAUACAGAAAUUUAUACAAUUGCUUCACUUCUGUCUUAAUAGACUUGAUCUCGCUCUUCAAUAUUUUAAGUCUCUUCUCUUUCGAAAAUGGAAUCAUUGUAUCCAUAGAAGCCUCGUGAAUAUAUUUGUCAAUGACAUCUUUAGACCGGUAAACCAAAUCCUUGACUUGUUUCACAAAUUCUACUUCAAUGGAACUCAUACUGCUUUUUUUUGUAUAAUAGUUAAUGAGGCAUUUGGAAAUAGUCAAGUCCCUGCACAGUUGUUCCACCUUCUCCUCGACAUCUUCAAGCAAAUCAAUGUGGGAAACAUACAAGGUUUUUAGGCAAUCUAGCAUAAAUGCCACACAUG